rnacentral:rRNA from 1 species
UAGGGAAUCUUCCACAAUGGGCGCAAGCCUGAUGGAGCAAUACCGCGUGAGUGAAGAAGGGUUUCGGCUCGUAAAGCUCUGUUGUUAAAGAAGAACACGUAUGAGAGUAACUGUUCAUACGUUGACGGUAUUUAACCAGAAAGUCACGGCUAACUACGUGCCAG